rnacentral:misc_RNA from 1 species
AAGACUAUAGACCUGCGGAGUACCUGCGGAAGGAUCAUUAAUAAAUCCAUCAUUCGAUGACCCUACCUUGUGUGCACCUGUAAAAACUGCCCUUUGGAUUUUAAAGGCCGAGCCCGAGUUCUCGAGCGCUGGCCUUUUUCCAAAGGGUUUUUUAUAAACGUCUUUUUGAACAAAUAAAAAAUUUUUAAACCAAUAAAUACAACUUUUAACAAUGGAUCUCU